GACCCUAAAAAGUCCUUUAAACACAAAGGUUUAGUCCUGACCUUGAAAUCAGUUAUUACUUAAUAUACACAUGCAAGUUUCCGCACCCCUGUGAAAACGCCCUUAAAUCCCCUCUAGGGAUAAGGAGCUGGUAUCAGGCACAACAAAACCGCCCAAGACACCUAGCUAUGCCACACCCACAAGGGAAAUCAGCAGUGAUUAACAUUGAACAUAAGCGACAGCUUGAUUCAGUUAUAGUAAAAAGAGCCGGCAAAUCUGGUGCCAGCCGCCGCGGUUACACCACGUGGCUCAAAUUGAUAUCUAUCGGCGUAAAGCGUGAUUAAAGUUCUCCCUUCAUUAGAGUUAAACUAAAACUAAGCUGUGACACGCUUGUACUUAAGAAACCCAAAAACGAAAGUUACUCCAACUUAAUCAACUUGAACUCACGACAGCUAAGACACAAACUGGGAUUAGAUACCCCACUAUGCUUAGCCGUAAACUUUAAAUUACACCCAAAUCGCCAGGGAACUACGAGCAAAGCUUAAAACCCAAAGGACUUGACGGUACCCCAUAUCCACCUAGAGGAGCCUGUCCUAUAAUCGAUACCCCUCGCUAAACCUCACCACUUUUAGCCUACUCAGCCUGUAUACCUCCGUCGUCAGCUUACCACGUGAGCGUGAAUCAGUGAGCUUAAUGCCCGUACGCCAACACGUCAGGUCAAGGUGCAGCAAAUAAAGUGGGAAGAGAUGGGCUACACUCUCUAACAUAGAAAACACGGAAGACUACCUAUGAAAUCUAAUCUAAAGGCGGAUUUAGAAGUAAAAAGAAAAAAGAAUGUCCUUUUUAACUCGGCACUGGGGUGUGUACACACCGCCCGUCACCCUCUUCAAAGCAACCAAAAAGUAAAUAACCACCUAAUGCAACACAGAAGAGGCAAGUCGUAACAUGGUAAGUACACCGGAAGGUGUGCUUGGAAACGAAGUGUAGCUUAACCAA
rnacentral:ncRNA from 1 species